rnacentral:rRNA from 1 species
AGAGUUUGAUCCUGGCUCAGGACGAACGCUGGCGGCGUGCUUCAGACAUGCAAGUCGAGCGGGCGGAGGCCGAACCGCAAGGGGAGGCCGAAGCUAGCGGCGAACGGGUGAGUAACACGUGGGUAAUCUACCCGGAAGACUGGGAUAACGGCCCGAAAGGGCCGCUAAUACCGGAUAAUGUCGCGGUCUCGCAUGAGGCCGCGAAGAAAGGCGAAAGCCACUUUCGGAUGAGCUCGCGACCCAUCAGCUAGUUGGUGAGGUAAUGGCCCACCAAGGCGACGACGGGUAACCGGUCUGAGAGGAUGAUCGGUCACACUGGGACUGAGAUACGGCCCAGACUCCUACGGGAGGCAGCAGUCGGGAAUAUUGGGCAAUGGGCGAAAGCCUGACCCAGCGACGCCGCGUGAGGGACGAAGGCCUUCGGGUCGUAAACCUCUGUCAUCGGGGACGAAGGAAGUGACGGUACCCGAGGAGGAAGCCCCUGCUAACUACGUGCCAGCAGCCGCGGUAAUACGUAGGGGGCGAGCGUUGUCCGGAGUUAUUGGGCGUAAAGGGCGUGUAGGCGGCCUGUUAAGUCAGGUGUGAAAUUUCAGGGCUUAACCCUGAAACUGCGCUUGAAACUGGCAGGCUUGAGGACAGGAGAGGGAAGUGGAAUUCCCGGUGUAGCGGUGGAAUGCGUAGAUAUCGGGAGGAACACCAGUGGCGAAGGCGGCUUCCUGGACUGUACCUGACGCUGAGGCGCGAAAGCUAGGGGAGCAAACAGGAUUAGAUACCCUGGUAGUCCUAGCCGUAAACGAUGAGUGCUAGGUGUGGGGGGUUUAAAUCCCUCCGUGCCGGAGUUAACGCAAUAAGCACUCCGCCUGGGGAGUACGGCCGCAAGGCUAAAACUCAAAGGAAUUGACGG